GACGAACGCUGGCGGCGCGCUUAACACAUGCAAGUCGAGCGAUGAAAUUUCGACAGAUCCCUUCGGGGUGAAGAUGAAAUGGAUUAGCGGCGGACGGGUGAGUAACACGUGAGUAACCUGCCUUUGACAUUGGGAUAGCCUCGGGAAACUGGGAUUAAUACCAAAUGACACUAACUGAUCACAUGAUCAAUUAGUCAAAGAAAUUCGGUGAAAGAUGGACUCGCGGCUGAUUAGCUAGUUGGUGGGGUAACGGCCCACCAAGGCGACGAUCAGUAGCCGGCCUGAGAGGGUGAUCGGCCACAUUGGAACUGAGACACGGUCCAAACUCCUACGGGAGGCAGCAGUGGGGAAUAUUGCACAAUGGGGGAAACCCUGAUGCAGCGACGCCGCGUGAGCGAAGAAGGCCUUCGGGUCGUAAAGCUCUUUUAUGAGGGAAGAUAAUGACGGUACCUCAAGAAAAAGCCCCGGCUAACUACGUG
rnacentral:rRNA from 1 species